CUACGGGCCGCUGCAGUGGGGAAUAUUGCACAAUGGGCGCAAGCCUGAUGCAGCAACGCCGUGUGAGUGAUGAAGGUCUUCGGAUUGUAAAACUCUGUCCUAUGGGAAGAAAAAAAUGACGGUACCAUAGGAGGAAGCCCCGGCUAACUACGUGCCAGCAGCCGCGGUAAUACGUAGGGGGCAAGCGUUAUCCGGAAUCACUGGGCGUAAAGGGUGCGCAGGCGGCCUAUCAAGUCAGAGGUGAAAGGCAUUGGCUCAACCAAUGUAAGCCUUUGAAACUGUUAGGCUUGAGUGCAGGAGAGGUAAGUGGAAUUCCUAGUGUAGAGGUGAAAUUCGUAGAUAUUAGGAGGAACACCAGUGGCGAAGGCGACUUACUGGACUGUAACUGACGCUGAGGCACGAAAGUGUGGGGAGCGAACAGGAUUAGAUACCCCCGUAGUC
rnacentral:rRNA from 1 species